ACCUACGGGGGGCAGCAGUGGGGAAUAUUGCACAAUGGGGGAAACCCUGAUGCAGCGACGCCGCGUGAGUGAAGAAGCGUUUCGGCGCGUAAAGCUCUGUCAGCGGGGAAGAAACACGGUUCGCGAGAGCCGCGGACGGUACCCGACCAAGAAGCCCCGGCUAACUACGUGCCAGCAGCCGCGGUAAUACGGAGGAUGCGAGCGUUAUCCGGAUUUAUUGGGUUUAAAGGGUGCGUAGGCGGAAUGCCAAGUCAGCGGUAAAAUCGCGGGGCUCAACCUCGCUCCGCCGUUGAAACUGGCGUUCU
rnacentral:rRNA from 1 species